UACGUAGGGUGCAAGCGUUGUCCGGAAUUAUUGGGCGUAAAGAGCUCGUAGGCGGUCUGUCGCGUCGAAUGUGAAAACCCGGGGCUCAACCCCGGGCCUGCAUUUGAUACGGGCAGACUAGAGUUCGGUAGGGGAGUCUGGAAUUCCUGGUGUAGCGGUGAAAUGCGCAGAUAUCAGGAGGAACACCGGUGGCGAAGGCGGGACUCUGGGCCGAUACUGACGCUGAGGCGCGAAAGCGUGGGGAGCAAACAGG
rnacentral:rRNA from 1 species